UACGUAGGUGGCGAGCGUUGUCCGGAUUUACUGGGCGUAAAGGAUGCGUAGGCGGAUAAUUAAGUGAGAUGUGAAAUACCCGGGCCUAACCUGGGGGGUGCAUUUCAAACUGGUUGUCUAGAGUACAGGAGAGGAAAGUGGAAUUUCUAGUGUAGCGGUGAAAUGCGUAGAUAUUAGGAAGAACACCAGUGGCGAAGGCGGCUUUCUGGACUGUUACAGACGCUGAGGCAUGAAAGCAUGGGUAGCGAAC
rnacentral:rRNA from 1 species